GUUGGCUGCUAGGAUGCUAGGUCGCUACACCCUCGAGACUGGGAUCUCUGCAUCUCAUUCCCAUUUAAUUAUGUUGGGGAAUGUUUAUGAGCAUAGAGUAGAGCUGAUAGACAAAACCGUGCAUCGAAAUCUGAAGCUAGGGGGUUUAAUGUAGGUUCCAAUGAAUUAUUCUAGACAAUAGAUUGUAUUUUUAGAUUUUAUUUGAGUGAUUAAUAAUAAUUAUAUAAAAUCGGA